rnacentral:rRNA from 1 species
GUGGGGAAUAUUGGACAAUGGGCGAAAGCCUGAUCCAGCCAUGCCGCGUGUGUGAAGAAGGUCUUCGGAUUGUAAAGCACUUUAAGUUGGGAGGAAGGGCAGUAAGUUAAUACCUUGCUGUUUUGACGUUACCGACAGAAUAAGCACCGGCUAACUUCGUGCCAGCAUCCGCGGUAAUACGAAGGGUGCAAGCGUUAAUCGGAAUUACUGGGCGUAAAGCGCGCGUAGGUGGUUUUGUAAGUUGGAGGUGAAAUCCCCGGGCUCAACCUGGGAACUGCCUCCAAAACUGCAUGACUAGAGUACGGUAGAGGGUAGUGGAAUUUCCUGUGUAGCGGUGAAAUGCGUAGAUAUAGGAAGGAACACCAGUGGCGAAGGCGACUACCUGGACUGAUACUGACACUGAGGUGCGAAAGCGUGGGGAGCAAACAGGAUUAGAAACCCGGGUAGUCC